UGUCCCAUGGUGUAGCGGCUGCACACGGGUUUUUGAUACCCAGAGUUCUGGUUCGACUCCAGAUGGGACAACCA
rnacentral:tRNA from 1 species